CGGCCUGGGAGGCGGGGACCGGCCGCCGCGGGCGAGUGGCUGCGGUCCCGCCCUCUUCCUCGCCCGUUCCUGGCCCAGGCAACACACAGCUUCCGCUCAGCGGUCGGGAGCGCAGGCGAUCAUCCCACGGAGUCACACCCCGUACCCUCUCCCACCCCUCGGCGAGGCGAGCCAGAGGGACGAGGGCCUGCACUCUCUCCAAAGAGGGGCCGAAGGGCCUUCUGGAUGACAUUCCUAGACGCCCAGGACCUGCGAUGCUUCAGCCAGGUUGUCCUAGGGAUGAGGGGCUUUUACUGGAUGGAAGGCAGCGUGGUGGUCAAGAGCGUGGGGGGUAGACUCAGACUGUGUGUGUUCACUGGCGGGCUCUACAGUUAGCUUUGAAUACUCUGGACUACUGUAGCAAAGCUCUGGGCACCUCACCUGCCUCGUAAAAUGGAAACAAUGACACUUGCUUCAUAGAACGUGUGAAGAUUAAAUGAGUUGAUUCAUACAGAACCCUUACCUGACCCCUAACUCAUAUUGUUUCUAAUAAGUGCCGUUGCUGCUGCACUGUGAGCUGGGACCUGAAUCUCAACAGUGUUGCAACACCUGCUUUCCAGCUCGUUACCUUCACCCAGGACAACUAAUAAGGAGAUGAUGAUGGACAAUGACUAUCCCAAGGAACAGAGAGGGGCUAUAACUGCAAGCAAGAUAGUCCCAUCCAUCUGUACCAUGGGAUUGAAGCCCCCUCUCAAUUAGAGGUGAAGCAGGCAUCACCAUCCCAGAAUCCUCAGGAUUGGGGAAUGAAAGAUGGACUACACUAGACUUACUGGGGCUGUGGAUGGUGCCCACUCUAAUUUGGAUGCCUUAAAAGGAUGGAGGAUGUUCAGAAGUUCAAAGAAAGGAGAAUGCCUCCAAAAAUAUUGUAUACUGGAAAAAAAUGUGACUUUAAAGUUAGAUAUUGCUUCCUGUUCUAAAAGUCAAGAGCUGUGUAACUCUGAUUGUUAGGCAACCUUUCUUGGGUUCUUAAUUAUAAAAUUAAUUAAUUACUUUGUUAAUUAUAAUAACAUAAGAAUGAAACAAAUUCCUGGAAGCCAUUUAGCUCUUUGAUUCCCAGAAAAGAUAGUAUGUUUUAGUUCCUGAGGGGAUAAUUUCUUUCAGAUAAGGUGGCCAAAAGGAGGGCAAGUGGCUUAAUAUUGCAAAAGGUCCAAUUAUCUCACCCAACUAAAAAUUCUUAAUAUUUGCCUAUGUCUUUUAUAAUUUUCCUCAAUACUUAUAAUCUAAGAUCCAUCCUGUGAGAGAGUCAGGAAAAUUCUUAUUAUACCCAUAUUGCAGACAAGGAAACUGAGGUUCAGAGAAGUACAUGGAUUUGCCAAAGUUCCCAUGAUUAGUUAAGUGCUAGACCUGGGACCUAAAUCUCUUGAGACCUGGCCCAGGACUCUUCCCAAUACAACAAGAUGUUCCUGCUUCUAUCAGGUGAAUAUUUGGGAAAUAGAACCACAGGAUUAGGUUGAUCAUGUAACUGAAUCUCACUUCAGGGCGAGGUAUCACAGUGACUUGAAAGGAAAUAUUUUGUAAAAUAUUUAAAAGUGUGUUUGUAACUGACUGUAAUCAAUUAGUUGUAACUUGUACUGUGCUCGUAUCAUUGAUGUGGAGACAGUCCCAUUGGAUUGCUGAGGGCAGAGAGAGGGAAGAAGAGGUGUAAUAUGGGGGCAUUUUUGGGACUUGGAGUUGUCUUAAGUGAUACUGCAGGGACAGAUGCAGGACAUUAUAUAUCCUGCCAUAACCCACUGAAUGAACUGGGGGGAGAGUGUAAACUACAAUGUAAGCUCUAAUCCAUGCUGUGUAGCAGUGCUCUAAAAUGUAUUCAUCAAAUGCACUGAAUGUCCCACACUGAUGAAAAACGUUGUUGAUGUGGGAGGAGUGGGGGUGGAGUGGUGAGUGGGGUAUAUAGGAAACCUCUUAUAUUUUUUAAUGUAACAUUUUGUGUGA
rnacentral:lncRNA from 1 species